rnacentral:rRNA from 1 species
GGCGGCGUGCUUAACACAUGCAAGUCGAACGGAAAGGCCCUUCGGGGUACUCGAGUGGCGAACGGGUGAGUAACACGUGGGUGAUCUGCCCUGCACUUUGGGAUAAGCCUGGGAAACUGGGUCUAAUACCGAAUAGGACCACGCGCUUCAUGGUGUGUGGUGGAAAGCUUUUGCGGUGUGGGAUGGGCCCGCGGCCUAUCAGCUUGUUGGUGGGGUAAUGGCCUACCAAGGCGACGACGGGUAGCCGGCCUGAGAGGGUGACCGGCCACACUGGGACUGAGAUACGGCCCAGACUCCUACGGGAGGCAGCAGUGGGGAAUAUUGCACAAUGGGCGCAAGCCUGAUGCAGCGACGCCGCGUGAGGGAUGACGGCCUUCGGGUUGUAAACCUCUUUCAAUAGGGACGAAGCGCAAGUGACGGUACCUAUAGAAGAAGCACCGGCCAACUACGUGCCAGCAGCCGCGGUAAUACGUAGGGUGCGAGCGUUGUCCGGAAUUACUGGGCGUAAAGAGCUCGUAGGUGGUUUGUCGCGUUGUUCGUGAAAACUCACAGCUUAACUGUGGGCGUGCGGGCGAUACGGGCAGACUA